rnacentral:lncRNA from 1 species
AUCUUUUUUCUCUGUCAUUUAUUCAUGCAUUUUCAUCGUUCCGUUUCUACUUGAUACACGAAAUUGAAAAGACUCUUAGAUAAACGAUCUCGCCAAACAACAGCGUCAAGUAAAUAACACCUCAAUUAAAGAAAAAUACAACGUCUCCAGAAACACCCUAUCGUCGAACGUAAACAACACAGGAGACGGGCGAUUCUUCGUCAACGUCAAAAUUUUGAUUCUCCAACAACGUAAACAACACAGGGUUAAGUACGAUCGUGGACAGUUGCCUCAGCGUUGAAUCUAACCUAUUUCGACAUUUUUAAGGGUAGCUUUUGUUUUCUUAUUUUUUUUUAUCUCUUUCGCUUUGAUUUAUAUAUUUUUUCGGUAUUUAUAUACCGAAUGGGAGCUGAUAACGUUGCGAAUGAAUUAAAUUCGUGUUAUUACGUUUACCCGCGUAAAAGAGAGGGAGAACGGAAUUCCGAAGAGGAAGAAAGAUUUGGAAAAAAAAAAAACAAGGGAGCAUCAACAGUCGAAUAUCGAAUUGAUGAUGGUGGUGCCUGUCGGGGUGUCGGUGCGUCGUCGCGUCGUGUGCGGACAUUCUACGUUGCUGUAUGCGUAGAGGAGUUGUUGAGGAGAGGAAUCGUAAUAUAGAAGAAGAAUAAGAGGAAGGAGCGGUGAGUGGAAUAAAAAAAACGUCCAAAAGUUGGGGGGGAAAAAAAAUAUCGUCCUCCAUGUGUUCGGUGGUCUCGUGUCGCGGCAGCAGCAGCAGCAGCAGCAGCGGUGCGAGCAGCGCUACCAACAUCGCGAACAGCAAACAUCAAUUGGCGGUCUAUUAGUAACGGUAUUUGUGAUUUUCGUCAUUGUGUUGUCGUUCGUGUUUGUAGUGGUGGGCAACGAGGAAACAGAAGCAAAAGUAGAAGAAGAAGAAGAAGAAGAGGAAGAAGAAGAAGAAGAAGAGAAAAAGAAAGGAGGAGAGGAAGAAAAGGAAGAAGAAACUACAGCGGCAGCAGCAGUAGGAACACCAGCAGCAGCAGCAGCACCCAGUAUGGCCGGCUUCGGGUCCUCGCGGCCGCGUCGUCGUCUACAAAUUGAUACGAAAAAGGGUUAUGGUGGUUUCUUCUUCUCGACAACGUUAUCAUAUUCGCUCCUGUAACCGAAACGCGCGAGACGACGCAGUGAUACAUCGUCAAAGCACCACCUCUAACCCCGGUAUUCAACAAGUCUCGUUUACUAAUAAUAAUAGCAACGCACAUCAUCAACAACAACAACAAUAAUCGUUGUACAUAACGAUUGUAUACACGCUCGCAAACAAUUACAUUUUGACGUAGCUGUCGUCGUCUUAAUCGUCCUCGUCGUUAUUCAUUCUGUCUAUUUUCUCGCAAUAGACAUCUAUGAUAAUAGGUGAACAGUGGUGGGUUUUCUCUCGUAGAGAGAAAGAGAGAGAGAGAGAGAGAGUUUAGUGCUAUUACUGCUGCUGCUGCUGUGUUUCGUCGUCGAUCGUAACUAAAAAAGUUCGACCCCUAGUUGUGUGUCGUGUCGUCCCCAGGCCUUACAACCACCACUAUUACAACUACAACUAGAACUACUGGCACCACACCACCACCACCACCACCACCACCACCACCACUACUGCUGCUGAAUACAAGGAAAAAUAUCGUCACAACGAGAAUAACAACGGGAAUAAGAGACGAGACGUGUAAAAUUCAUCUCCGCCCUGAUUGGCCUGAAGCCACUUAACUGGCAUCUAUCGACUGAAAACUUGGAAAAAGAUAGGAGAGGAAAAUUAAGUAAGCGAAUUAAUAAAUUAAUUAAUUAAUCAAUAAUCAAAUCAAAUCAAAAAGCCUGAAUUAAACGUGUUCUUCAUCGAGGCAAGAGCCUGUUCCCCGAGUUUAAUAAAAAAAUUAAGCAUAUAGAUAAAUUAAUAACUAGCAAAUUCAAACAAUAAUCAAAAUAUAUUAGCAGAUACAUAAAUAGUCAAAUAAAUAAAUUAUAUAAUCAAAUAAAUUAGAUGAAUAAACAAACAUCCCAUCGGCCAGUUUAAAAUUUAAGUAAAUAACUAUUGAUACAAAUAUAUAUAUCUAUACACAUAUAUAUAUAUAUAUACAUAUAUAUAUUGAGGAUUUAAAAUAAUUAGAAAAAGUUGAUAAACGUAAUAAAUAUAAUGCAAAUUAAAUCGUUUUCGCGGAUAACAAUAGGAUCGGUAAUCAAACGAUUACAAGAUGAUCUUGAACUUGGUGAAGAUCAUCGGUGGUCUAGGCGACGUGGAUCCCUACCGUGAUGCCAACUAUAUAACGACGACAACGCCAAUGAUAAUUAUAAAAUUAACGAUGAUUAUAAAAAUAAUAAUACUGAUGAUAAUAGUGAUGCCGAAGAAGAAACCCUGAUAGCUAAUAGAAGUGCGGGAUCGGUAAUAUUUCGGAGAAAAGUAGAAGAAGAGCAAGAAGAAAAAGGAGAA